rnacentral:rRNA from 1 species
CUGACUGACCGAUAGUGAACCAGUACCGUGAGGGAAAGGCGAAAAGAACCCCGGCGAGGGGAGUGAAAAAGAACCUGAAACCGUGUACGUACAAGCAGUGGGAGCCCCACCACUAAGCCAGUGGUGAACUCCACAUACGCAUCCUUUGCUGAGGAUACGGUUAACGGAGCGAAAGCGACGUUCAACCGCAAAAGAAGCAGAGGGGGCUUAGUGGUGGGGUGACUGCGUACCUUUUGUAUAAUGGGUCAGCGACUUAUAUUCUGUAGCAAGGUUAACCGAAUAGGGGAGCCGGAGGGAAACCGAGUCUUAAUUGGGCGUUAAGUUGCAGGGUAUAGACCCGAAACCCGGUGAUCUAGCCAUGGGCAGGUUGAAGGUUGGGUAACACUAACUGGAGGACCGAACCGACUAAUGUUGAAAAAUUAGCGGAUGACCUGUGGCUGGGGGUGAAAGGCCAAUCAAACCGGGAGAUAGCUGGUUCUCCCCGAAAGCUAUUUAGGUAGCGCCUCGUGAAUUCAUCUCCGGGGGUAGAGCACUGUUUCGGCUAGGGGGCCAUCCCGGCUUACCAACCCGAUGCAAACUGCGAAUACCGGAGAAUGUUAUCACGGGAGACACACGGCGGGUGCUAACGUCCGUCGUGAAGAGGGAAACAACCCAGACCGCCAGCUAAGGUCCCAAAGUCAUGGUUAAGUGGGAAACGAUGUGGGAAGGCCCAGACAGCCAGGAUGUUGGCUUAGAAGCAGCCAUCAUUUAAAGAAAGCGUAAUAGCUCACUGGUCGAGUCGGCCUGCGCGGAAGAUGUAACGGGGCUAAACCAUG